GAUGAACGCUGGCGGCGUGCCUAAUACAUGCAAGUCGAGCGAAGCGGGGACGGGUGAGUAACACGUGGAUAACCUCCUAUAAGACUGGGAUAACUUCGUGAAACCGGUGCUAAACCGGAAUCUUAUAUAUGGACUCGCGCUGCAUUAGCUAGUUGGUAAGGUAACGGCUUAGCAAGGCAACGAUGCAUAGCCGACCUGAGAGGAUGGUCGGCCACGCUGAGACUGAGACACAGUCCGGACUCCUACGGGAGGCAGCAGUAGGGAAUCUUCCGCAAUGGGCGAAAGCCUGACGGAGCGACGCCGCGUGAGUGAUGAAGGUCUUCGGAGCGUGAAACUCUGUUAUUAGGGAAGCGGUACCUAGUCAAAAAGCCACGGCUAACUGCGUGCCAGCAGCCGCAGUAAUAC
rnacentral:rRNA from 1 species